GGGGAGAGAGACCCAGGGCCUGGGAGUAACUUGCUGUGUGCUCAUAUGGCCUCUGAACAUAAAUAGCUGUGUGCUUGUCUACCCCAGGAUCAGAGCCUACCCUCAGGUUAUUUCCCAUCACCCACUCUUAUAUUCGCUGUGUCUGAAUCAGUGACUCCCUUCUCAUUAUUCCUUCUACUACCAAUCUUAAAAAUCACCUUCUCCUUGAAGCCUCUUUUGAUUAAUUCAGCUCAUUGUUCAUCCUUUACUAGUGGGUGGUUUGUGCUCUGUUAAUUUUCACUUAGUAUUUUUUUUUCUCCAUGAGUUCCUGUAGGAUUAUUUCAAUGUGUUCAUUGUCAUCCCCGUUAGUCUGGCAGCGCCCUGGGGGUAGAGUCCAUUCUAGGAAUACUUGAAGGCCAUCAUCUUUUUCUUCUGGAUCCUCAUCGUUUGUCCAGCUCAGAGCUAUAAACUCAAGGAUGCUUAGUGCAAGAGGCUGGUAGCAUUGCCUGAUGACCCAGGUCACAAAGCCUUUUUGUGCCAAGGGUGCGUCUGGGGUAAGACUUUGAGGAAGAAGAACUUUCUGUGACUCCUAUGCUGGAAUCAGUCUCUAAGGGCCGGGGUUCACCCCCUGCAGUGCAGAGGUUUUGUUGCUGGACAGGAUGUGAACAUCCUUGAUUUUCUCAUGGUCAAGUUAAGUAACUUGUCUGGGGUCACACUGUGACACAUUCAUUGCCAAACCUGUUCCUUUUGCCAAGUCAGUCCUCCUAUGUGCUUUCUUGCUCAACCCAUGCAGAAUUCUAGAAUUCUCAGGCAGGGAGGGAAUCCAUGGUGGGGUAGGUGGGGUGGGGUCAUGUCAUACAUUUUCCUAAACAGAACACAUGGAAGUCAGAGCCACCAAAGGGGUUGUGCAUUUACCUGUGGUCACCCAUUUCAGCAUUCCACACCCAGUUUAGCUAUUCUUGCAAAUGUCUAAAUUUCUGCUACUGUAGUUUGAUUCUGAGCCCCUCACUCUGUUUUUCCUGCCAAUAUGGGAAUGGGCAGAUGUCUAUGCUCAUUUGCCUAAAAAAGUUACUUGAAAAAUUACUUUCCAAAUUAAAGUACCAUGGUUUCUUGAUUUUUUUCCCCCUUGCUCAAGGCCCAGCCCAACUUCCUGCUGCCAAGUCCAGACCCAUCUCUUCUUAUCACUCACAAACACUAGUGGUUCCAUGGCCAAAGGAAGACAGCAGCUGGCCACUUGGGGCCAUGGCCCUUCAGGGACUAGGGCUCUCUGCGACACAGUGAAAACCCAGAGAAGAUGCAGUAGUUUAUAGGAAGUGCAACAUUCUGGGACUUUUUCCAAAUGACUUUAAGACAAAGCAAUUUCUGAAGAGGUUUAAGCUAAGCACCAAGGUAAGCACCUGGAUGUCAUCGUGCCCAAUCUCUGAUUUUAGAAACAAAGAACUGAAUCUCAGAGCUAGCUAGUGGCAAAGCUAAGGACUGAUCAGGGCCACAGACCUCUUGACUGCUCAGGGAAACCGGAACCUUCUAUGUUUGGUUGUGCUGUGUUGGAAUUGAAGGAGGAAGCAAAACACACAUGCUGUAAGUUGUGGGGACAGAUGACUUCCCUAUGGAUCACUUGCUGCCUACUCCUUUGUCCCCAACAAUGUACCAGGCAGAGUCAAAGCUUCCACAGGUGCAGUCCUACCCUGCUUUCCAGUUCGGAGACCUGUAUUAAGGGGCCAUGGGGCUUUGGUUUCACUUGUAGAUAUGCCUGUGCUCUUUCUUAAGCUUUGGCUCUGCCCUUACCAAAUCUGGGCCUUAUCUUAGUUGGCUAUAAAAUGGGGAGAAUCAUCCCAAUUGCCUUGUCUACUGCCCCAAGGCAGUACAUCUAAGAAAUACUUUGAGUUCCUCAAAGGGAGGGGUGAGGGAAGAGAUUGCUCCAACAAGAGGGCAUGAUUCUCAUGAAGGUGGGGAGACCAGCGCAUUAAAAUCCAACAGCUGUUGGCCUACAGUGCUGGUCAGUUAGAAUGCAUGGGAGUCAACCUCAUGAGUAUUGACUGUGUUAGAUAUUUCUCUUGAAUUAUUUGCACGAUAACCUUAUGGUGUGGGGUCUAAUUUUAUCGGUUUUAUGGAGAAGAAACUGGAAGUCAGCGAGAAAGCUGAAAUAACUUGCCCAAGGUCACUCAGCUAAGUGGUGGAGCUGGGCUUCAAGCCCAAGCGGCCCUAUCCAAGCUCAAGUUGUUAGCUAAGGUGCUUCCCUAGACCCCAGCUUGAAGUGGCAGUACAAAACGAAAGUGAGUCUUUCCCCCUCCCCAAAGGAAGGGACUGUGUGACCUGGAGAGUAAGAAGGAAGAUCCGUGAGAGGAAGAACUAAAGGGGUCGGGAUGAGAGACUUUAGGAACUGCUGGAUGAGAGUGGUGGUAACUGCUCGUUUCUCUUCCUCUCAAGCUACUCAGCUCCUGUUCUUCACGUGGACAAGUGUAACUGAGGCUCACCCUCUCCAGCCUGCAGGAGGUUUGUGCAAGCCCACACUAUGGCCCUGACAUCACCUCUGUGAGCAACGUGGUACUUUUGCAGAACUACAGUCCUCCAGGGACUUCAAUUUGUAUGGGAAUGACAAGCACAGACGAAAGAAAAGUGAAGUAUAGAAGCUUGCAGGCACCGAUACGAUUCCACAAAGACAUACAAAGUGACUAUUUACAUACGAGUCCAUGAGCUCCUGACCAUCCACGUGUGUGGACAUACGUAAGCAUGCCUGUGUGCCAACGCUUCUUAGAUCUGUUCCAUCAACCUCCAUCCUGGACGUGGCCCAUUUCUUCACACCUACCCAGCCUUCACCAAGGUUUGCUGGCUGUAAUGAUACAGUUCAGCUAGCUGAAGCAGAGAAGGGGUAUUUACUGCAAGGAUCUUGGAGGGUUCCAGAAGAUUCAUGGACCGAGAUGCUGCAGAUCACUGAGGGGCUGGUACCAGGAACGUGAAUCAUCAGAAAGCCAGGCCUCAGUCUCUCACUCACUGAGGCCACAUGGCCACUCUUUUCUGCUUUCCUCAGCACUCCUGCAUUCUGCUCUCUCCCCAGGCCUGAUUUUUCUGCAUUCUGAGCGGUUUGUAAAAGACUGCAACUACACAGUGCCAGAGGCUCUUGUCUUUAAUUCAAAGGAUCAGAAAAAAUUGAUGAAUGCUCUGAAGUCUCUAAUCCCAGUUCCUGGGAGAGAGACUAAUGGCUCAGUCCAGGUCAGGUGUCCAUCCUCCAAUCAGCCACAUCCAGGGGACCAGGGUCACACUGGGGACACAUCAUAAAUGGUGUCCCAAGUCAAAUGGUUUGUUCUCCCUGAAAACCCUUAGCUAAUCUUAUGGGAGAAGUCCCCUCUCCCCUGGGUUCCCAUAGCACUUUAUCUGCCCCUCUCCCAUGGAACUUAUUGCUUCUUACCUUGUGUCAAUAUUGCUGUUAUAAAAAUCUUAUCCACCAUCCCACAUAUCCAUAACUUUCUUGUUCAUUUAUCUUCGUAUAUCUCACAGCUCGUGCAAACCAAAAAUUGAACAUGUGAUCAAUAAGUAGUUUAAAUUAUGAUAAUCUCCAAAUAAAUCAAU